rnacentral:lncRNA from 7 species
CGGUACAGAUUAAAGCCAAAGGAAUAAGCUGACAAAUGUUUUUUUGUGUAGCACUUCUACCGUCGCUGUCCCAUGAAGAUCAUGGGGAAUAAUGUACAAGGUCCGGUACUAACACACAUGGUGGAUGGGGUGAACUGAGAAUGACAACCUAUCUGUCGACGGACAUGGUGGAUGGCUGCACUGACAUAGAAUUACUACGCCAAACAAUUCGUUUUUUUAGAAAGUUCAUAUGGUAAACUAUUGGAGGGGGUAAAUUAAGGU